rnacentral:rRNA from 1 species
GGUCAAGUGAAGAAGCGCAUACGGUGGAUGCCUUGGCAGUCAGAGGCGAUGAAAGACGUGGUAGCCUGCGAAAAGCUUCGGGGAGUCGGCAAACAGACUUUGAUCCGGAGAUGUCUGAAUGGGGGAACCCAGCCAUCAUAAGAUGGUUAUCUUGUACUGAAUACAUAGGUGCAAGAGGCGAACCAGGGGAACUGAAACAUCUAAGUACCCUGAGGAAAAGAAAUCAACCGAGAUUCCCUUAGUAGUGGCGAGCGAACGGGGACUAGCCCUUAAGUGGCUUUGAGAUUAGCGGAACGCUCUGGAAAGUGCGGCCAUAGUGGGUGAUAGCCCUGUACGCGAAAAUCUCUUAGUCAUGAAAUCGAGUAGGACGGAGCACGAGAAACUUUGUCUGAAUAUGGGGGGACCAUCCUCCAAGGCUAAAUACUACUGACUGACCGAUAGUGAACUAGUACCGUGAGGGAAAGGCGAAAAGAACCCCGGAGAGGGGAGUGAAAUAGAUCCUGAAACCGUAUGCGUACAAGCAGUGGGAGCCCACUUUGUUGGGUGACUGCGUACCUUUUGUAUAAUGGGUCAGCGACUUAUUUUCAGUGGCGAGCUUAACCGAAUAGGGGAGGCGUAGCGAAAGCGAGUCUUAAUAGGGCGUCUAGUCGCUGGGAAUAGACCCGAAACCGGGCGAUCUAUCCAUGGGCAGGUUGAAGGUUGGGUAACACUAACUGGAGGACCGAACCGACUACCGUUGAAAAGUUAGCGGAUGACCUGUGGAUCGGAGUGAAAGGCUAAUCAAGCUCGGAGAUAGCUGGUUCUCCUCGAAAGCUAUUUAGGUAGCGCCUCAUGUAUCACUGUAGGGGGUAGAGCACUGUUUCGGCUAGGGGGUCAUCCCGACUUACCAAACCGAUGCAAACUCCGAAUACCUACAAGUGCCGAGCAUGGGAGACACACGGCGGGUGCUAACGUCCGUCGUGAAAAGGGAAACAACCCAGACCGUCAGCUAAGGUCCCAAAGUUAUGGUUAAGUGGGAAACGAUGUGGGAAGGCUUAGACAGCUAGGAGGUUGGCUUAGAAGCAGCCACCCUUUAAAGAAAGCGUAAUAGCUCACUAGUCGAGUCGGCCUGCGCGGAAGAUGUAACGGGGCUCAAACCAUACACCGAAGCUACGGGUAUCACUUAGGUGAUGCGGUAGAGGAGCGUUCUGUAAGCCUGUGAAGGUGAGUUGAGAAGCUUGCUGGAGGUAUCAGAAGUGCGAAUGCUGACAUGAGUAACGACAAUGGGUGUGAAAAACACCCACGCCGAAAGACCAAGGUUUCCUGCGCAACGUUAAUCGACGCAGGGUUAGUCGGUCCCUAAGGCGAGGCUGAAAAGCGUAGUCGAUGGAAAACAGGUUAAUAUUCCUGUACUUCUGGUUAUUGCGAUGGAGGGACGGAGAAGGCUAGGCCAGCUUGGCGUUGGUUGUCCAAGUUUAAGGUGGUAGGCUGGAAUCUUAGGUAAAUCCGGGAUUCUAAGGCCGAGAGCUGAUGACGAGUUACCCUUUGGGUGACGAAGUGGUUGAUGCCAUGCUUCCAAGAAAAGCUUCUAAGCUUCAGGUAACCAGGAACCGUACCCCAAACCGACACAGGUGGUUGGGUAGAGAAUACCAAGGCGCUUGAGAGAACUCGGGUGAAGGAACUAGGCAAAAUGGCACCGUAACUUCGGGAGAAGGUGCGCCGGUGAGGGUGAAGCACUUGCUGCGUAAGCCCACGCCGGUCGAAGAUACCAGGCCGCUGCGACUGUUUAUUAAAAACACAGCACUCUGCAAACACGAAAGUGGACGUAUAGGGUGUGACGCCUGCCCGGUGCCGGAAGGUUAAUUGAUGGGGUUAGCUAACGCGAAGCUCUUGAUCGAAGCCCCGGUAAACGGCGGCCGUAACUAUAACGGUCCUAAGGUAGCGAAAUUCCUUGUCGGGUAAGUUCCGACCUGCACGAAUGGCGUAACGAUGGCGGCGCUGUCUCCACCCGAGACUCAGUGAAAUUGAAAUCGCUGUGAAGAUGCAGUGUAUCCGCGGCUAGACGGAAAGACCCCGUGAACCUUUACUAUAGCUUUGCACUGGACUUUGAAUUUGCUUGUGUAGGAUAGGUGGGAGGCUUUGAAGCGUGGACGCCAGUUCGCGUGGAGCCAUCCUUGAAAUACCACCCUGGCAACUUUGAGGUUCUAACUCAGGUCCGUUAUCCGGAUCGAGGACAGUGUAUGGUGGGUAGUUUGACUGGGGCGGUCUCCUCCUAAAGAGUAACGGAGGAGUACGAAGGUGCGCUCAGACCGGUCGGAAAUCGGUCGUAGAGUAUAAAGGCAAAAGCGCGCUUGACUGCGAGACAGACACGUCGAGCAGGUACGAAAGUAGGUCUUAGUGAUCCGGUGGUUCUGUAUGGAAGGGCCAUCGCUCAACGGAUAAAAGGUACUCCGGGGAUAACAGGCUGAUACCGCCCAAGAGUUCAUAUCGACGGCGGUGUUUGGCACCUCGAUGUCGGCUCAUCACAUCCUGGGGCUGAAGCCGGUCCCAAGGGUAUGGCUGUUCGCCAUUUAAAGUGGUACGCGAGCUGGGUUUAGAACGUCGUGAGACAGUUCGGUCCCUAUCUGCCGUGGACGUUUGAGAUUUGAGAGGGGCUGCUCCUAGUACGAGAGGACCGGAGUGGACGAACCUCUGGUGUUCCGGUUGUCACGCCAGUGGCAUUGCCGGGUAGCUAUGUUCGGAAAAGAUAACCGCUGAAAGCAUCUAAGCGGGAAACUUGCCUCAAGAUGAGAUCUCACUGGGACCUUGAGUCCCCUGAAGGGCCGUCGAAGACUACGACGUUGAUAGGUGGGGUGUGUAAGCGCUGUGAGGCGUUGAGCUAACCCAUACUAAUUGCCCGUGAGGCUUGACCAU